CAGGUAAGUACCACUGACCCCACAACAUGCGAGUUAUUGUGUGUGUUAUUUUAUAUGCCACAAACUGGGGACAUUGCACUAUACAAUUGGCUACAGGUAAGUACCACUGACCCCACAACAUGCGAGUUAUUGUGUGUGUUAUUUUAUAUGCCACAAACUGGGGACAUUGCACUAUACAAUUGGCUACAGGUAAGUACCACUGACCCCACAACAUGCGAGUUAUUGUGUGUGUUAUUUUAUAUGCCACAAACUGGGGACAUUGCACUAUACAAUUGGCUACAGGUAAGUACCACUGACCCCACAACAUGCGAGUUAUUGUGUGUGUUAUUU